rnacentral:rRNA from 1 species
AACGAACGCUGGCGGCAUGCCUAACACAUGCAAGUCGAACGAGACCUUCGGGUCUAGUGGCGCACGGGUGCGUAACGCGUGGGAAUCUGCCCUAGGGUGCGGAAUAACUCGGAGAAAUCCGUGCUAAUACCGCAUAAUGUCUUCGGACCAAAGAUUUAUCGCCCUGGGAUGAGCCCGCGUAGGAUUAGCUAGUUGGUGGGGUAAAGGCCUACCAAGGCGACGAUCCUUAGCUGGUCUGAGAGGAUGAUCAGCCACACUGGGACUGAGACACGGCCCAGACUCCUACGGGAGGCAGCAGUGGGGAAUAUUGGACAAUGGGCGAAAGCCUGAUCCAGCAAUGCCGCGUGAGUGAUGAAGGCCCUAGGGUUGUAAAGCUCUUUACCCGGGAUGAUAAUGACAGUACCGGGAGAAUAAGCUCCGGCUAACUCCGUG